rnacentral:rRNA from 1 species
CCUACGGGUGGCUGCAGUCGAGAAUCAUUCACAAUGGGGGAAACCCUGAUGGUGCGACGCCGCGUGGGGGAAUGAAGGUCUUCGGAUUGUAAACCCCUGUCAUGUGGGAGCAAAUUAAAAAGAUAGUACCACAAGAGGAAGAGACGGCUAACUCUGUGCCAGCAGCCGCGGUAAUACAGAGGUCUCAAGCGUUGUUCGGAAUCACUGGGCGUAAAGCGUGCGUAGGCUGUUUCGUAAGUCGUGUGUGAAAGGCGCGGGCUCAACCCGCGGACGGCACAUGAUACUGCGAGACUAGAGUAAGGGAGGGGGAACCGGAAUUCUCGGUGUAGCAGUGAAAUGCGUAGAUAUCGAGAGGAACACUCGUGGCGAAGGCGGGUUCCUGGACAUUAACUGACGCUGAGGCACGAAGGCUAGGGGAGCGAAAGGGAUUAGAUACCCGUGUAGUC